rnacentral:rRNA from 2 species
UUAAGCGACUAAGCGUACACGGUGGAUGCCCUGGCAGUCAGAGGCGAUGAAGGACGUGCUAAUCUGCGAAAAGCGUCGGUAAGGUGAUAUGAACCGUUAUAACCGGCGAUGUCCGAAUGGGGAAACCCAGUGCAAUUCGUUGCACUAUCGUUAACUGAAUACAUAGGUUAACGAGGCGAACCGGGGGAACUGAAACAUCUAAGUACCCCGAGGAAAAGAAAUCAACCGAGAUUCCCCCAGUAGCGGCGAGCGAACGGGGAGCAGCCCAGAGUCUGAAUCAGCUUGUGUGUUAGUGGAACGGUCUGGAAAGUCCGACGGUACAGGGUGAUAGUCCCGUACACCAAAAUGCACAGGCUGUGAACUCGAAGAGUAGGGCGGGACACGUGGUAUCCUGUCUGAAUAUGGGGGGACCAUCCUCCAAGGCUAAAUACUCCUGACUGACCGAUAGUGAACCAGUACCGUGAGGGAAAGGCGAAAAGAACCCCGGCGAGGGGAGUGAAAAAGAACCUGAAACCGUGUACGUACAAGCAGUGGGAGCACCUUCGGGUGUGACUGCGUACCUUUUGUAUAAUGGGUCAGCGACUUAUAUUCUGUAGCAAGGUUAACCGUAUAGGGGAGCCGCAGGGAAACCGAGUCUUAACUGGGCGUUAAGUUGCAGGGUAUAGACCCGAAACCCGGUGAUCUAGCCAUGGGCAGGUUGAAGGUUGGGUAACACUAACUGGAGGACCGAACCGACUAAUGUUGAAAAAUUAGCGGAUGACUUGUGGCUGGGGGUGAAAGGCCAAUCAAACCGGGAGAUAGCUGGUUCUCCCCGAAAGCUAUUUAGGUAGCGCCUCGUGAAUUCAUCUUCGGGGGUAGAGCACUGUUUCGGCUAGGGGGUCAUCCCGACUUACCAACCCGAUGCAAACUACGAAUACCGAAGAAUGUUAUCACGGGAGACACACGGCGGGUGCUAACGUCCGUCGUGAAGAGGGAAACAACCCAGACCGCCAGCUAAGGUCCCAAAGUCAUGGUUAAGUGGGAAACGAUGUGGGAAGGCACAGACAGCCAGGAUGUUGGCUUAGAAGCAGCCAUCAUUUAAAGAAAGCGUAAUAGCUCACUGGUCGAGUCGGCCUGCGCGGAAGAUGUAACGGGGCUAAACCAUGCACCGAAGCUGCGGCAGCGACACUAUGUGUUGUUGGGUAGGGGAGCGUUCUGUAAGCCUGCGAAGGUGUGCUGUGAGGCAUGCUGGAGGUAUCAGAAGUGCGAAUGCUGACAUAAGUAACGAUAAAGCGGGUGAAAAGCCCGCUCGCCGGAAGACCAAGGGUUCCUGUCCAACGUUAAUCGGGGCAGGGUGAGUCGACCCCUAAGGCGAGGCCGAAAGGCGUAGUCGAUGGGAAACAGGUUAAUAUUCCUGUACUUGGUGUUACUGCGAAGGGGGGACGGAGAAGGCUAUGUUAGCCGGGCGACGGUUGUCCCGGUUUAAGCAUGUAGGCUGAUUAUCCAGGCAAAUCCGGAUAAUCAAGGCUGAGGUGUGAUGACGAGGCACUACGGUGCUGAAGUAACAAAUGCCCUGCUUCCAGGAAAAGCCUCUAAGCAUCAGGUAACAUCAAAUCGUACCCCAAACCGACACAGGUGGUCAGGUAGAGAAUACCAAGGCGCUUGAGAGAACUCGGGUGAAGGAACUAGGCAAAAUGGUGCCGUAACUUCGGGAGAAGGCACGCUGGUGUGUAGGUGAAGCCCCUGCGGGUGGAGCUGAGACCAGUCGAAGAUACCAGCUGGCUGCAACUGUUUAUUAAAAACACAGCACUGUGCAAACACGAAAGUGGACGUAUACGGUGUGACGCCUGCCCGGUGCCGGAAGGUUAAUUGAUGGGGUUAUCCGUAAGGAGAAGCUCUUGAUCGAAGCCCCGGUAAACGGCGGCCGUAACUAUAACGGUCCUAAGGUAGCGAAAUUCCUUGUCGGGUAAGUUCCGACCUGCACGAAUGGCGUAAUGAUGGCCAGGCUGUCUCCACCCGAGACUCAGUGAAAUUGAACUCGCUGUGAAGAUGCAGUGUACCCGCGGCAAGACGGAAAGACCCCGUGAACCUUUACUAUAGCUUGACACUGAACAUUGAGCCUUGAUGUGUAGGAUAGGUGGGAGGCUUUGAAGCGUGGACGCCAGUCUGCGUGGAGCCAACCUUGAAAUACCACCCUUUAAUGUUUGAUGUUCUAACGUUGGCCCCUGACCGGGGUUGCGGACAGUGUCUGGUGGGUAGUUUGACUGGGGCGGUCUCCUCCCAAAGCGUAACGGAGGAGCACGAAGGUUAGCUAAUCCUGGUCGGACAUCAGGAGGUUAGUGCAAUGGCAUAAGCUAGCUUGACUGCGAGCGUGACGGCGCGAGCAGGUGCGAAAGCAGGUCAUAGUGAUCCGGUGGUUCUGAAUGGAAGGGCCAUCGCUCAACGGAUAAAAGGUACUCCGGGGAUAACAGGCUGAUACCGCCCAAGAGUUCAUAUCGACGGCGGUGUUUGGCACCUCGAUGUCGGCUCAUCACAUCCUGGGGCUGAAGUAGGUCCCAAGGGUAUGGCUGUUCGCCAUUUAAAGUGGUACGCGAGCUGGGUUUAGAACGUCGUGAGACAGUUCGGUCCCUAUCUGCCGUGGGCGCUGGAGAAUUGAGGGGGGCUGCUCCUAGUACGAGAGGACCGGAGUGGACGCAUCACUGGUGUUCGGGUUGUCAUGCCAAUGGCACUGCCCGGUAGCUAAAUGCGGAAGAGAUAAGUGCUGAAAGCAUCUAAGCACGAAACUUGCCCCGAGAUGAGUUCUCCCUGAGACUUUAAGUCUCCUGAAGGAACGUUGAAGACGACGACGUUGAUAGGCCGGGUGUGUAAGCGCAGCGAUGCGUUGAGCUAACCGGUACUAAUGAACCGUGAGGCUUAACCUU